rnacentral:rRNA from 1 species
GACGAACGCUGGCGGCGUGCUUAACACAUGCAAGUCGAGCGGAGCGGCGAACGGGUGAGUAACGCGUGAGUAACUGCCCCCCUCUCUGGGAUAACAGUUGGAAACGGCUGCUAAUACCGGAUAGUGGGGGAUGACUCGCGUCCUAUCGGCUUGUUGGUGGGGUAGUGGCCUACCGAGGCGACGAAGCGUAGCCGGCCUGAGAGGGCGACCGGCCACAUUGGGCUGAGAUACGGACCAAGCUCCUACGGGGGGCAGCAGUGGGGAAUAUUGCCCAAUGGGGGAAAGUCUGAUGAAGAAACGCCGGGGGCGGGAUGACGGCCUUCGGGGUGUAAACCGCUUUCAGCCAUGACGCGGUAGUGGCAGAAGAAGCACCGGCUAACUACGUGCCAGCAGCCGCGGUAAUAC